rnacentral:lncRNA from 1 species
UAGUAAAUACAAGGAGUUUGCCAAGGAUGGCCCUCACUCUGGUUAUUAGGAAUAUGAAAAGGAAAAAACAAAAGAUUACAAUGAAGAAAAAAGCCAGAUACUAUUUAGGCCAGGUGAUUGUUAAGGUUAGUGAUAGGUUGACAGCACGAACCCUUGAAUGCCUGCUCUAGGACAUGAGAAGGGCUCCACCAAAACCCAGAACUUAUAUUAGAGCGUCAGAUAGACCGAAUCAAAUGGACUCUUCACAAGAUAUUUGGCUCAUACUACUCAAAGCCUUCAAGGUCAUAAGUGAGUAAAGUCUGAGAAACAGACCGGAGGAAACAACAGUUUAGGGUGAGAUUUUAAAACGGAAACGCGGCACUACUGGUAAAAUUCAUGACAAUGUAAUAACUACAAAGCGUGAAUUCCUGGUAAUGAACCCUGUUGACUUCUGACUGUGGUAAAGGGAAUGUUAAUAGGGGAAACAUAAAGGUAAGAGACUAUUAACAUCUGGUUAUACCUCAAAUAAAAUGUAUAAUUUAUUUGUUCCUGUAAA